rnacentral:rRNA from 1 species
GACGAACGCUGGCGGCGUGCUUAACACAUGCAAGUCGAGCGGAGCGGCGAACGGGUGAGUAACGCGUGAGUAACUGCCCCCCUCUCUGGGAUAACAGUUGGAAACGGCUGCUAAUACCGGAUAGUGGUGGAUGACUCGCGUCCUAUCAGCUUGUUGGUGGGGUAGUGGCCUACCAAGGCGACGACGGGUAGCCGGCCUGAGAGGGGGACCGGCCACAUUGGGCUGAGGUAGGGACCAAACGCCUACGGGAGGCAGUAGUGGGGAAUAUGGUGCAAUGGGGGAAAGCGUGUGGCAGAAACGCCGGGUUUGGGAUGUCGGCCUUCGGGUUGUAAACCGCGUUAAGCCAAGACCCGGUAGUGGCAGAAGAAGCACCGGCUAACUACGUGCCAGCAGCCGCGGUAAUAC